AGAAGAUCUCCUUAGAAUUUUGUUAAGACGAAGUUUCUGAUAAAUAGGCCUGGGUGUGGCCUGAGAUUGUUCAUUUCUAACAAGCUCUCAAGUGAUGCUGAU
rnacentral:pre_miRNA from 1 species